GGACGCACCCGGUUCAUCGUAAUUCCGUUCACCAUAGCUUUUCAAGAAGGAAGGCUAUUGAAUUCUCCGUCUAAUCACAAAAAAUCAUCAACCGUUUGGAGAAAGCGUGGAUAGAGCUAGGAUAGAGCGUGCCAUCGUGCAACAAGUGCGAAAGAACAUGGAAGACUAACAUCGCUCAGCUUCGCAUCUGGUUCUUGAACCUUUGGAUCCUCCCCUUGGUCGUGCCUCCUCUUCCCAACUUUCUCUGGGAUAACAAUAAUAUAAAGUAUUCUGGAAGACUAAACGCUGUCCUUCGUACAGCUAUCCUGUUUCGGUCGAGCUCAUAAAACCAACUUUUAUCUUUGAUCAUCUGUUCCCUAAUAUGUCGGGUUUGAAUUUUGAAAUCACUAAAACAAUUCUACAUAACAAAAAUUAAAAAUACUUAAAUAUGUAUUUUUUUCUUUGUUGAAGUUUUAUUCAAAAAUGUGUUGCAGACCAAUCCCAAUUGGCAAAUUCAGCUGUUGCUGUAUUUAGUGGUUUCUCAAUCGGAAGAGGGAGAUCAUUUAAAGGAGUCAUCAGCGGUUCUUGCUGAAAAUAGGCAGCUUCCAAAACCUAUGCGCACGAAGGCAAUAACGUAAAAAACUUUCCAGCAUAAUUCUUGAUGAUUCGUCUACUUCAGUCAGGAUUUCAUUGAAGGAGAUUUGUUUAUUGGUGCUUGUAAACGAAAUCUUGUGGAAAUCAGGAAGCGACGACACACCUGGCCAAAUUUCUUCGUCUGGAGUACCUAGUACUUUGGCCAAUGUCAUUCUCUCCCUAGAGUAUUGUUUGAGAGAAAGAAUUCAAAAUCUGUUGAUCACUUUUAUUAUGCACUGCCAUUUUACCGGGAAAAGGGGAGAAUUCUUAAGCAUUUCACCAAAGAUACAACCCAUGGCCCAAAGAUCUACUUCCGGACCUGUCAUGCAACAACAUACUAUUAGUUAUUAAAUAAAAAUGCACUGUCAUGACAA